rnacentral:tRNA from 1 species
UCCAGGGUAGCCUAGUGGACAUGGCAUCUGCCCAGUAAACGGAACACUGUGGGUUCGAUUCCCAUCCUUGGAC